rnacentral:rRNA from 1 species
UUGCGGUUAAAAAGCUCGUAGUUGGAUCUCGGCGGGCAGGGGGUGGUUCGCUCUUCAGCGCUACUGCCCCGCUUUGCCCGUGUGAUUGGCGGAGGUUUCGGGGUGCUCUUCGUUGAGUGACUCGGAGCGCCGUCAGGUUUACUUUGAAAAAAUUAGAGUGCUCAAAGCAGGCUUUUCACGCUUGAAUAUUCGUGCAUGGAAUAAUGGAAUAGGAACUCGUUUCUAUUUUGUUGGUUUUCGGAAAUCGAGUUAAUGAUUAACAGGGACAAUUGGGGGCAUUAGUAUUCAGACGACAGAGGUGAAAUUCUUGGACCGUCUGAAGACUGACUACUGCGAAAGCAUUUGCCAAGAGUGUUUUCAUUAAUCAAGAACGAAAGUUAGAGGUUCGAAGGCGAUCAGAUACCGCCCUAGUUCUAACCAUAAACGAUGCAGCUAGCGAUCUGCCGAGUUUUUUUUGUAGGCUCCGCAGGAAGCUUUCGGGAAACCAAAGCUUUUGGGUUCCGGGGGAAGUAUGGUUGCAAAGCUGAAACUUAAAGGAAUUGACGGAAGGGCACCACCAGGAGUGGAGCCUGCGGCUUAAUUUGACUCAACACCGGAAAUCUCACCA